rnacentral:rRNA from 1 species
UGGGGAAUUUUGGACAAUGGGGGAAACCCUGAUCCAGCCAUCCCGCGUGUGCGAUGAAGGCCUUCGGGUUGUAAAGCACUUUUGGCAGGAAAGAAACGUCGCGGGUUAAUACCCCGCGAAACUGACGGUACCUGCAGAAUAAGCACCGGCUAACUACGUGCCAGCAGCCGCGGUAAUACGUAGGGUGCAAGCGUUAAUCGGAAUUACUGGGCGUAAAGCGUGCGCAGGCGGUUCGGAAAGAAAGAUGUGAAAUCCCAGAGCUUAACUUUGGAACUGCAUUUUUAACUACCGGGCUAGAGUGUGUCAGAGGGAGGUGGAAUUCCGCGUGUAGCAGUGAAAUGCGCAGAUAUGCGGAGGAACACCGAUGGCGAAGGCAGCCUCCUGGGAUAACACUGACGCUCAUGCACGAAAGCGUGGGGAGCAAACAGGAUUAGAUACCCUGGUAGUCCACGCCCUAAACGAUGUCAACUAGCUGUUGGGGCCUUCGGGCCUUGGUAGCGCAGCUAACGCGUGAAGUUGACCGCCUGGGGAGUACGGUCGCAAGAUU